rnacentral:lncRNA from 1 species
UCACACUAAUUAAUGUUAACUUUAAGUUCAAACGAUAAUUCAUUUACAAAAUGUAGUAAAUUAGUUGCCAAACGUAUUUACGAACCUAAAAAGAAUAGCUAAAACUUAUACGCUAGUGGCAAAAUGCUCCUAUUAAAAUCAAUGUCCUUGUAGGAUAAGACACACCAAAAGUGUGGGAAACCAAUCGGUUUCAAAAAUAAAAUCCUCCAAAAAGAAAAAGAACAUGUCACGACUCGAAACUCCCCAUUGAGCCCAUGACAACCGCUGCGACAUCCCGAUAGGCACUCAUUAUCCUGAAUGCCAAUCGAAACCCCGCACGGCUUAGCAUAAGCUUUCGCAUCUCCCUGGUGAGCGACAGUUAUUAAAUCUCGCAUUUCGAGAAAUCAUAAGUCGUUUCCAAAUCAAAACAAUAAAAUAUUAUUUUCUGGCUCACAGGGGUAUUUUCAUCAUUUUUUUUCAAAAAUACCGAAACCCGUCAAAAACAUGGUGUAAAAGAUAAAUAUGUUCAUACAUACUUUAAAUCAGAUAACUGAAGUACAAAAUUACUUUACAGUGACACGUGGGCCCCCAACUAACCAAGAAGGUGUAGGGCUACGAACCCUUACUUUCUAGGAUGCAACUCCGAGAUUAAUUCUCGUUUUAAUCAACUAUCAACAAACUGUCCUGAGCCUGAAAAAUGAAUAGGAAGAGGGGUGAGAUUAUGAUUACAUAAUCCUAGUGAGUAAAUAGACACCAUAUAAACUAUCUAAAGGCGAGUAAAUGGAGACAAUUAAAAAUAAUUCAUUUCAGUAAAUUUUUCACAACAUGAAUAUUCAUUUCAACCAAAUAAUCAAUAUGGCUCGUGAAUUUCUCAAAACUUGGCUCAUGCCAAAUCCUGUACUCGGGGACACUUGGACCAGGGGUAUCCAACCGAGUCCGCCAAGGCUGUGAAAAAUUUUAUAUAAUCAUAAAACUUGUUUUUAUUUUGAAAAAAAACAACCGUUCCUUGGCGUUGACUAAGUCUCACUUCACGUGGUGGUUAACAUGAAGUGCACUCAAAAAGCCCACCUCAGGAGAUACCUUACGCGCCUCUA